rnacentral:rRNA from 1 species
AACCUGGUUGAUCCUGCCAGUAGUCAUAUGCUUGUCUCAAAGAUUAAGCCAUGCAUGUCUCAGUACCUGCCGACCUAAGGCGAAACCGCGAAUGGCUCAUUAAAUCAGUCAUGAUUUAUGGGAUGUUGUUAAAUCCUUACUCGGAUAACUGUGGUAAUUCUAGAGCUAAUACGUGCAAUACGUCUCCGACCUCGACCCUCGCGGUCGAGGGAAGGGCGCAUUUGUUAGACCAAAAACCGGGUGGACAGUCGUUGGGCAUUCGCUUUCAGCUAGCCCACGUCCAUUCCUCUACGGUUAUGUGGUGACUCUGAAUAACUACGGCCGAGCGCUGAGGUCUUAGUACCGGCGCCGUAUCUUUCAAGUGUCUGCCUUAUCAGCUCUCGAUUGUAGGUUAUUCGCCUACAAUGGCUGUAACGGGUAACGGGGAAUCAGGGUUCGAUUCCGGAGAGGGAGCCUGAGAAACGGCUACCACAUCUAAGGAAGGCAGCAGGCACGCAAAUUACCCAAUCCCGGCUCGGGGAGGUAGUGACGAAAAAUAACGAUGCGGGACUCUUCCGAGGCCUCGCAAUCGGAAUGAGUUCAAUUUAAAAACUUGGACGAGGAUCCAUUGGAGGGCAAGUCUGGUGCCAGCAGCCGCGGUAAUUCCAGCUCCAAUAGCGUAUAUUAAAGUUGCUGCGGUUAAAAAGCUCGUAGUUGGAUUUCUGAUGCGGACCGGGGGCCCAUCCAAGGCGCGCCCUCGUCUAUAGCGAGCGGCGUUCCGUGGGGUUCUUCCCGCGUCCCGGCGGCGGCCGAAAGGAGGUCGUUGGGAGGUUUUUGUCGGAGCGGCAGCAAACAGCAGCAGCGGCGUCGGGCAGCAGCCUUCGGCGUCGGUAAAAAGGAGCGUCGUACGCGCCCCUCGCUUAAAGGCGUGCGGAGGCGGCGGCGGCUUUCUCUGUCUCUCUCGAACUGUCGUUCGAUGGCGGUAAAUCCGGAUCAGUAGUGGGUCGGGCACAAUAAAAAGGCGUCGGCGGCGGCUAUAUACGGAUGACGGGGAGCCUCCUUCCCUAAGGGUUUUCUCCGCUGCGGGUCGCCUAUCCCCGCGUCGUCACCUCUCUUCCUCCAUCUCUUCCGCUUUCGCUCGUCUCAGCGCAAUAAAAAGACCGAUUUUCGUCUCGUCUGCAUCCCAAACCGCGGAUCGCGCUUACGCCGUCGGGCAGUCGUCUUCGUCGUCGUUCAUGACGGCGGGGGCGGUCGGUUCCGACGGGUCGGCGUCCCGCGGGCGUCGAGUUCGGUCGGCCGUAAUGAAAAGCUGGGACGCUAAACGGGCGAACAGACGUGUGGUGUGGAUGCGAAAUUGGGUGCUUACGUACGCGGGUGAAGCGGUUCGCGCACGCGGUUCUCCCGUUAUAAGAGGUUGUUGUGGUUUACACCCGCAUUCGAUGUCGUCGUCGUCGCUGGCUUCGUUCCGGCCCUCUCCCGGCUCUGCCGCUCUCGUCGCAGCUCACUGUGGGUGGGACACGAGCUCUUAGUCGUCGUUCGUCGCCGUUUCGCUGAGGGGAAGGGCGGCGGCGCUCUCGCGUCGUCGUCGCAAGAGUUUAGUUGUUGCUCGCUCGUUCGUUGCUGCUGCUGCCGCUUUCCUUCGCCUCUCUCUGUCUUCCUCCUCUCGGGUAGAUCCCGUCGUUCGGGGCGAUAAAAAACGGGGGGGCUAAAGCUCCGCGGCGGCGCCUUUCGCUCCUGGAAGGGUAAGCGCGCCCGGUGGUUCACUGCCCGGCUUCGUAGUUACAAAAGCCGUCGGUUCUCACGGGGUGCUCUUUACCGAGUGUCCCGCGUGGCCGAUAAGUUCACUUUGAAAAAAUUAGAGUGCUCAAAGCAGGCUAAAAUAUUUAUGCCCGAAUGGUAGCGCAUGGAAUGAUGGAACAGGACCUCGAUCCUGCCUUUUUCAGCCCGGUUUUUCGGAAUCGAGGUAAUGAUUAACGGGGACAGACGGGGGCAUUAGUAUUGCGGCGCGAGAGGUGAAAUUCUUGGACCGUCGCAAGACUAACUACUGCGAAAGCAUUUGCCAAGAAUGUUUUCAUUAAUCAAGAACGAAAGUUAGAGGAUCGAAGGCGAUCAGAUACCGCCCUAGUUCUAACCAUAAACGAUGCCAACUAGCGAUCCGUCGGCGUCAUUCCCACGACUCGACGGGGAGCCCCAGGGAAACCAAAGUCUUUGGGUUCCGGGGGAAGUAUGGUUGCAAAGCUGAAACUUAAAGGAAUUGACGGAAGGGCACCACCAGGAGUGGAGCCUGCGGCUUAAUUUGACUCAACACGGGGAACCUCACCAGGCCCAGACACUGGAAGGAUUGACAGAUUGAGAGCUCUUUCUCGAUUCGGUGGUUGGUGGUGCAUGGCCGUUCUUAGUUGGUGGAGCGAUCUGUCUGGUUGAUUCCGAUAACGAACGAGACUCUGUCCUGCUAACUAGUCGGCGGAUCGACUCCCAAGACGGGUUUCCAUCCGCGGGGUUUUCGGGCGGGGGUCGCUUCGACCCGUCGUCGUUCCUUCGCGGUCGCGUCGCUGUCGUCGCUGCUGCUGCGGGGGGCAUGGCGCGCGGUUCGCGUUCGCGGCGGUAGGUCUUCGUCGUCGGCGGCCGUCUCCGCUAUCAUCGCUCGUCGGUGGUGGUGGGGCGGUAUUCGUCGUCGUUCGUCGUCUUCGUCGCGACGCUCCGUCGCUAUUUCUUCGCACGGCGCGCGCGCGGCGCGGUUUAGCUUGGGGCCUGCGCGGCGGCGGUGUUCGGGGUCCUCGUCUUGCCUCGCGCGUUGGGGCUCUGCGAGGGGCGUCCGUCGCAAUAUCUUCUUAGAGGGAUCGGCGGCGUCCAGCCGCAAGAGAGAGAGCAAUAACAGGUCUGUGAUGCCCUUAGAUGUCCUGGGCAGCACGCGCGCUACAAUGUAGGGAUCAACGUGCCCUCCCCCUCCGAAAGGAGCGGGUAACCCGUUGAAACCCCUACCCGAUUGGGAUUGGGGAUUGUAAGUGUAUCCCAUGAACGAGGAAUUCCCAGUAAGCGCAAGUCAUCAGCUUGCGCUGAUUACGUCCCUGCCCUUUGUACACACCGCCCGUCGCUACUACCGAUUGAAUGAUUCAGUGAGGGCAUCGGACUGGCGCCUUCGGUAGCCGUCGGCUCGUAUCCCAAACUCCGCUUCGGCGGGGGCGGUCGCCGGCACCCUAGGCUGACGGAAAGAUGUCCGAACUUGAUUAUUUAGAGGAAGUAAAAGUCGUAACAAGGUUUCCGUAGGUGAACCUGCGGAAGGAUCA